AUUGAACGCUGGCGGCAUGCUCUACACAUGCAAGUCGAACGGUAACAGGCCGCAAGGUGCUGACGAGUGGCGGACGGGUGAGUAAUGCAUCGGAACGUGCCCAGUCGUGGGGGAUAACGCAGCGAAAGCUGUGCUAAUACCGCAUACGAUCUAUGGAUGAAAGCGGGGGACCGUAAGGCCUCGCGCGAUUGGAGCGGCCGAUGUCAGAUUAGGUAGUUGGUGGGGUAAAGGCCUACCAAGCCGACGAUCUGUAGCUGGUCUGAGAGGACGACCAGCCACACUGGGACUGAGACACGGCCCAGACUCCUACGGGAGGCAGCAGUGGGGAAUUUUGGACAAUGGGCGCAAGCCUGAUCCAGCAAUGCCGCGUGCAGGAAGAAGGCCUUCGGGUUGUAAACUGCUUUUGUACGGAACGAAACGGUCUGGGUUAAUACCCUGGGCUAAUGACGGUACCGUAAGAAUAAGCACCGGCUAACUACGUGCCAGCCGCCGCAGUAACAC
rnacentral:rRNA from 1 species